rnacentral:rRNA from 1 species
CCUACGGGAGGCAGCAGUAGGGAAUAUUGCUCAAUGGGGGAAACCCUGAAGCAGCCACGCCGCGUGGAGGAUGACGGUUUUAGGAUUGUAAACUCCUUUUGUUAGAGAAGUUUAUGACGGUAUCUAAAGAAUAAGCACCGGCUAACUCCGUGCCAGCAGCCGCGGUUAUACGGAGGGUGCAAGCGUUACUCGGAAGCACUGGGCGUAAAGAGUGCGUAGGCGGGGUAAUAAGUCAGAUGUGAAAUCCUGUAGCUUAACUGUAGAAUUGCAUUUGAAACUGUUACUCUGGAGUUUAGGAGAGGUAGGUGGAAUUCUUGGUGUAGGGGUAAAAUCCGUAGAGAUCAAGAAGAAUACUGAUUGCGAAGGCGACCUGCUGGAACAUUACUGACGCUGAUGCACGAAAGCGUGGGUAGCAAACAGGAUUAGAUACCCUAGUAGUC